UUCCGGUUGAUCCUGCCAGAGGUCACUGCUAUCGGGGUUCGAUUAAGCCAUGCGAGUCGAGAGGGUUCGGCCCUCGGCGUACUGCUCAGUAACACGUGGAUAACCUGCCCUAGGGGAGGGGAUAACCCCGGGAAACUGGGGAUAAUACCCUAUAGGUUACAGAUGCUGGAAUGCCCUGUAACCAAAAGCUCCGGCGCCCUAGGAUGGAUCUGCGGCCGAUUAGGUUGUUGUUGGGGUAACGGCCCAACAAGCCCGUAAUCGGUACGGGUUGUGGGAGCAAGAGCCCGGAGUUGGAUUCUGAGACACGAAUCCAGGCCCUACGGGGCGCAGCAGGCGCGAAACCUUUACAAUGCGGGCAACCGUGAUAAGGGAACCUCGAGUGCCUGUAAACGCAGGCUGUUCAGGUGUUUAAAACGCACCUGGAGAAAGGGCCGGGCAAGACCGGUGCCAGCCGCCGCGGUAAUACCGGCGGCUCGAGUGGUGGCCGCUUUUAUUGGGCUUAAAGCGUUCGUAGCUGGGUUGUUAAGUCUCUUGGGAAAUCUGGCGGCUUAACCGUCAGGCGUCUAAGGGAUACUGGCAAUCUUGGAACCGGGAGAGGUGAGGGGUACUUCGGGGGUAGGGGUGAAAUCCUGUAAUCCUCGAGGGACCACCUGUGGCGAAGGCGCCUCACCAGAACGGCUUCGACAGUGAGGGACGAAAGCUGGGGGAGCAAACCGGAUUAGAUACCCGGGUAGUCCCAGCCGUAAACGAUGCGCGUUAGGUGUAUCGGUGACCACGAGUUACCGAGGUGCCGAAAGGAAACCGUGAAACGCGCCGCCUGGGAAGUACGGUCGCAAGGCUGAACUUAAAGGAAUUGGCGGGGGA
rnacentral:rRNA from 1 species